GGCUGGAGGGGCCGGUCGCCGUGGCACUUCUGUGGCCUCCGCUUCCCUCGGCGGUAGGGGCGCCGGGGUGGGGUGUUUCUGCCUCUCCCCAGCGCCCUUUACCCUGCGGGGAAGUGGAGAGCGUCAGCGCCCCGGCGUGAAGCGGGGUGUGUGGCCCCUUCCUCCCCAGCCGGGUGUGGCCAUCGCGCUGGGCCGCUCGUUUGCUGGGGCCCCUUGGAGACCCGCCAGAGCUCGGACCGAGCCCCUGCUGAGGUGUGGCACGUGGCGGUGCCUUCUGUGGUAUUUCCUGGACAGGUGGUUUUAAAGGUGGGGUUUUGCCCUUUCCGUGUAGAGGAAGCACAGCUAUUGGCGGCUGUUUAAUGCAAACGAAUAAGUCGUUUGGCAACUGUAGAUGUAUUGAUGUUGUAGAUACCACUGAAAAGACUAGAAUAAGUGAGCUCCCUUUGUGCUCUGGGAAAGCUUUAGUUCAGCAGUGAGGAAAUUUAAUACAUGGCUAUUGAAGUACAGAUGCAGCUGCCACUGUUUACCAAACAUGAAGGUGUUGUUCACAGCUCUUGGGAGUCGGUAAAUCGAACUAGGUCAGCCUGAAUUAGGGUGGUGUUCUUUGGAGUGACCAUGUUCCUGGUGCUUGUGGGGCUCUUCAUCUCUGGAGGACUGCUGCUCUGCAAGGUCUCCUGCCAACCCUUUCUCUUGAUCUGUGUUGCUCACAGAGGUUCUAUCUUGUGACAAACACAUCUGCACAUGCUUUGCAGAGCAGUU